UUUCGACUCCUCUUUCCGUUGGUUCCUAUUCUUUGCCACUUCUGCAGUACUUGUCUCCAAUCUGGCCUACAUGGCCACCGAUAAUGCUCUUGACUGGAAAAUGGAAAUGAAUGUUGAAACUCCAGCUUUUCUUAGAGAUUUGCCGAUUACUCAAAAGCUUCAGGAUAGUCUC